GUGCCUGUGGCAUGUGGAAGUUCCUUUGCCAGGGAUCAAACCCUCACCCCAGCAGUGACCCAAGCUGCUGCACUGUCUUCUUACUUCUUUUGUCUUAGAUUAAUUGAUCAAUAAGGGCAAGUGUUUAUUUCUGGGCUUUCUGUCUUGUUCCAUUGGUCUAUGUGUCUGUUUUUGUGCCAGUACCAUUCUGUUUUGAUUAUUGUAGCUUUGUAGCCAGGGAGUGUAAUUCCUCCAGCUCUGUUCUUUUUUGCUUAAAAAUUUUUUUUUUUUUUUGCUAUUAAGUGUCUUUUGUUUUACAAUACAAAUUUUAAAAUUUGUUCUAGUUCUGUGAAAAAUGCCGUUGGUAUUUUGAUAAGGAUUGCAUUGAAUCUGUAGAUUGCUUUGGGUAGUAUGGUCAUUUUCUGAUAUUUAUUCUCCCAAUCCAUGAACAUGGUGUGUUUUUCUAUCUUUUACAGUAUGUAUAUAAAACUUUUUCAGGGAAAGAUUGGGAAAUGGGUAAAUUUUUUUGCUCCUUUUGCACUGCGCCCUAAGGGGAUAGCCAGCUAGAAAUUGCUCCUUUGUUUUCUAUAGUCCUAUGGAACUUGUUAGUGGAACCCCCUUUAGCUAUAAGACUGAUGGUCUGGAGACCCAUUUCUUGGGGAGCAGCUAUAAAAUCUGGGGUGUAGGCAUGUGUACUAGCUCCUUCCAGGGAGAUACUAGGAACUUAGAGUCAUCUUGAGUGGGAAGGAAUGUUGUCCACUUCCCCAUUUUCUGGGGAGGAUCAUGGUUAGUCCCUAAUGCCUGUUAAAUUAGAAGACUGGACUUCAGGCAGCAGCUUAAUUUUAAAGUACACAGAUACUCUUUCAGGGGAAAACUAUGAGGUGGACACUUUUGCCUUUUUCCUCUGUGCAGAUUGCUGGGAUGAUAGCUGUGGUGAGUGCUUGCAUGCUUGUUAAGAAUUGGUUCUAUGCUAUAUACUUAUGAGGCUUGUGGACACAAGCUCCAUUGGUUUUUAGAGCAAGUGGUUUUUGUGAGCCUGUCUCUGGUGAAUCUUAUAAGUUUGAGUGCUAGAUAUGGAGUCCAAGCCCUUUGGUUUUCAGGGAGAAGCUAGAAGUCAGGGCUUCUCUCCUAAUUGUCGGGCACUGUGCUGAGAGGAGGGUUUAUGGCAAGAGUAUGGAAGGAACAGUUUUUCCUACCUGUUUUGAUGUGGGUAUUUUCUCAUUUGUCUGGCAUGUAGGAGUUGCUCAGCUAGUUGCUGGGUGUUGCUCCAUGUGUAAUUGUCCAUUUGAUGUGUCAGUAUGAGGAGGGAAGCUCAGGAGCUUCCUUUGUCACGAUCUUGUUGCCUCCCAGUUCCUAAGUUUUGAAUCCUUGCUUUUCCAUCAAAAUUUUUAUCUUUGCUCUAACGUGUUUUUGAAAUUUGAGAUGUUUUCUUUAAUAACAAUUUAGUCUUUUGAUUUUCUGGCCUUGUGUAUGGUAACCUGUAUUAAUGACAGUAAAAAAAUAUUUUUUCUUCCAUUAUGUCUUAUUGAGAUGUAGACAUGUUAUUGUAGAGUUAUAUUUCUUUUUCUUUAGUCUUUUUUUUUUUUUUGGUUGCUCCAUGGCAUAUGCAAUUAUCAGGCCAUGGAUCAGAUCCAAGCCACAGUUGCCUGAGCUGCAACUAACUUCCCUAAGUUAAGAUCAUACAACUAUGAAAAAUCAGAGAAAUUUUUAUUAGCUAUAGAAAUUUCAUUUGCUGUACAAAUAGGUAAGUCUUUCACUGUUUUCCUUUCAUUCUUUAAAGACAUUUUAUUGUAUUGAUUUCUAAUUUUCAUUAUGAUCAGUUAAUAUAUUCUAUAUCAUUUGAAUGAUUUUAAAGAUUUUAAUAUUGUUUUUUGGCCUAGUAUAUAGUUCAUCUUGGUGAAUAUGCCCUAGACAUGAAUUGAUUCUGAUAUUUGCUGUAGUGUUUUACUUCUAUGACUAAUACUUUGGUUUUUUUCUAUAAAUUACUGAAAGAGCUAUGACUGUAGAUUUAUUUACUACUCCUUUUAUUUCUUCCAGUUUCAUUUCAUUCAAGUUGAAACUUUGUUAUUAGUCAUAUAAACUCUCAUGAUUGUUAUACUUUCCUUGUAAAUUGACUCUAUUAAGAAAUAUCUCUAUCUCUGGUAAUAAUUGAUUUGAAGUUUAUUUUUUCUGAAAUUAAUAUAACAACUCUAGCUUUCUUACGCCUUCUGUUUGUAGAGUGUAUCUUUCCCUCUUUUUAUUUCUUCCUACCUGUAUCUUUAUGUAUAACGUUUUGUAAUUUUAGAUAGCAUGUAGUUGGGAUAUGUUUUAGCCAUUAACGAUUGAGUGUUUAUUCAAUGACUAAUAUAAUCAUUAAAAAGGUGGAUUUAAGUCCACCAGUUUUGUCAUUUGUUGCUUUGUGUGUACUCCCUUUUAGUAUGUGUCUUUUGUUUCUUAUUAUUCUGUCCCUUCUUCCCUACCUUUUGACUUUUUUUCAGAAUUUUCUUUUCCUAUUCCUUUUUAACUCUACCUUUAUGCAAUUUUGCUGGUUUUCCUAGUGAUUACAAUAUACAUAUUUAGUUAUUUCAGUCUUUUAAAGACUAUUAAAUCUCUUCACGUAAAAAGAAGAAUCUUGCAAUAAUAUGUACCUAAUUGCCUAGUCUCCGGCCCCUCUUAUUCUAUAGUCGUCAUAUAUAUCUAUAUCUACUAUAAACCCUAUAGCCAAUGCCAUAAUUGUUUUAAACAGGUAUAUUUAUAUUAAAUAGUUUAAGAGGGGAAAAUACUUCAUAACUACCUAGGUAUUAACCAGUUUUAAUUCUUUUUACUCUAUCCUGAACAUCUGUGUUUCCUUCUGUUAUCAUUAUCUGUCUUCCCAAAGAAUUUUCCUUCAUGCCAAGUUGACUGGUGAUAAGUUCUUUGUUUUCUUUUAUCUGACUCUGUCCUUUUAGUCCUUUUUAUUGAUUGAUAUAGUUACUCUCUGUAGAAUUAUGAUUGGGUUUUCUCCAUUAUUACUUUAAAGAUAAUUUUCCACAGUGUUCUGGACUUUGUUGAAAUAAAAUCCAUUCUUUAGGUAGUUAAUAUAGAAAGUAGUUGAAGCAAAAGUUUUAGCUAGCAAAGUGUGAUAUGAUAGGUACUUUAACAGAGAGUAGUUAUGAAGAGUUCUUAACUAAACAAUUUGUUUUAUGAUUUUCUCUGUGUCUCCCGAUAGCUUUGAACAAAUGAGCUCCUUUUGACUGGGACUUGGUUUUGUUCAUAUUCUUGACUUACUCAGAAAGUCAUAUAUCAUACAUUUAAAAAUAAUCAUUCUAUACUUUUUAAAAUUUUUUUUUAAAUUAAAAUUUUUUUUGUCUUUUGUCUUUUUAGGGCCGCACCCAUGGCACGUGGAGGUUCCCAGGCUAGAGGUCUAAUCAGAACUAUAGGCCACAGCCACGACAACACCAGAUCUGAGCGUUUGUGACCUACACCACAGCUCAAGGCAAUGUUGGAUCCUUAACUCACAGAGUGAGGCCAAGGAUUGAACCCACAACCUCAUGGUUCCUAGUCUGAUUCAUUUACACUGUGCCAUGAUGGGAACUUCUUAUCAUUCCAUACUUUUAAAUGGAUAGUUUCUCUUUCAUGGUAUUUACAAUAAAAUAAUAAGUUAGAAAAUGGAUGGUUUUGUUAGAAAAAGCAAAGUAAAAAAAGAUUGGAGUGAGUUGAUAUUAGAAAUAUGUCAUUUAAUUAAUUGUUACCAUUUGUUCAUAGAUAUUUGUACUAUUUUGUUAAUUGUGCAGUGUUGCAAACAUUUGCUAUGAGUUCUUUUAAUACUGAAUUGAUCCAUCUCUUGACGUAACAUUUUUUUAUUGAAGAUGACAUUGGGAUAUGGUUAUCUUACAACCUCUGAUUUUGGCGAAGAUGAAAUUAACCUUUCAAUUGUAUUUGAUGUGCAAAUUUUUUCACUUUGACAUUCCUACAUGUCAACUGUUUAUCUACCGUUCUAUCUUCUGUAAUCUAUCUAUCUCUACCUAUCAUCUGCCUAACUUAUUAAUAGAUACAUUAUCAUUUAGUCACCCAUCUUGUCACCUAUAGUUUGUAUAUCAUCUAGCUAGCUGUCUAAUCUCCAUCUAUCCAUACAUCCGUCCUGCUAUUAAGUAUGCUAAGUUGAAGAGUACGACAAUGGAGAAUCAAAGGAGUUACCCCCAUAUAAAAUGAUAGUGAUGACAGUGGUCUCUGAGGUGAUGAUAUAUAAAGUGACAGCAAGAAUAGAACAUAAUAACAGGGAUAUUAACUCAGGAACAUGUCUAUCAGGAACUCUGGACUUGCUACCAUGAUCAAAUUUGAAACCUCAAAAUAGAGCUGCCUCCAUUCUGUCUCAGCUUCUAAAAUUUAGUCUCUGUGACUGUCUUUUCAGUACAGCCUCCAUAUUUUAAAACUCAGUAUUAAUUGCAUGGAAUUAUCAGCUCAGUCUAUGCUAAACUAGACCAUGGAUUGGUAAACCUUUUCUGUAAAGGGCCAAAUAACAAUUUGUUUUCCAAUAAAACAAUUUCAGUGUUCCAAUAAAACUUUAUUUAUAACAGCAGGCUGUGGGCUUGAGUACCACAUCCUGAACAAGAUAAGUGGUUAAACCAGAACCUGGAAAAUAAUCACAUUAGCCCCACCAUUGUAAAAAAUAUUUAAAAAUUAUCUCCCCAUUUUAUUUUCAUGAAAAUUAUUUUUAGCUCCUCUGUAAAUCUUAUUUAUAAGAGAGUGCUGUCAAUGAAUACUACAUGUCAACAUAAACAAUGUAAAGCCAGUAUUGUAUAAGUGACUGGGGAGAUAUGAACCCCUUUCCAGUUAUAACCAAUAAACUAUAUUUUAAAUUGAGCAUACUUCUCCCAUAUUCCAUUUGUCCAUUGUGUCCAAACUCAUUCCUGCCUUCUUUCCCCCUUCAAUACACUUCAAGUCAAAAUGUCUCUCCACGUCUUUGGUGUUAUCCAGUCUCCUUAGCCAUUGACUUCAGUCUAUUUUGACUUCAUAUGAUCCUUUUUUGGUAAUUGUUUCAACCUCUCAGAAUAGGAUUUGUAUAUUCCAAGGCUAUUAUUUAACCUAGUUUGUAAAAAUGUGAAAGAUUCAACAGUAUACCUAAUUAAUGAAUACUAUCUUUAAUUCAAUUAAAAUUUGUCUUCCAAGUUUUCUCCAUCUUAUAUGCAUUGAAGAGUUAGAGGAGCGAAAAAUAGUAGCUAAAACCCAUUAACUUAAAAUUGAAUUUGGGUUAUUGAUUACUUUGCAAUGAACUGAGAAUUUACCUGUAUUGUUACUUGAAACUUACAUGACCAUUUUAGUGUUACUAUUUCUAUGAAAGCCUGACCCAAAUCAAUUAGAAAAAGGCAAUCAUUCCACUACAAAAGUGGAAAGUACAUAAAUGAGAAAUUCAUAAAAGGAUUGUGAAUGGCCAAGAACACAUAAAAAGUAUACUCAAACUUAUCAAUCUUCGUAAUUAAACAAAAAUGUAUUAAAUCAUCAAUUUUUAUAAAUAUAUACAUUAAAUAUAUGUGUGUGUUUAAAAACACAGACACAAACACACAAAAUAGAUUAACAAUUACCUUUUUCACCUAUUAGAUUAAUAGGUACGUUUGUUAACAAAGUGUGGGUAAUUUCAGACUCCUUCUGGAUUAAAAUCUUUCCAACACAUGGUAAAAAAUAUGUAUUAGACGGAAAUCAGCACAUUUUGACUAACGUUUUUUCUUAGAAAUUUACCUAUAGGAUGUAAUUGGAGUUUUCAAACCUGUAUGUAAACUCUAGGAUAUUCAUUACAGCCAUAGUUAUACUUGUCAAAUUAUAUGUAAUCUUUUUAUGAAGUCCUAAUGCUAGGGAAAUUAGUGGUGAUACAUUUAUACAGUUGAAUUUUUUCAGUUAUAUGUGGUAAUGUAUGUUGAAAUUAAUUGAUAUGAAAAUCUGUCUUUCAAAAGUUCAUUUUUCUGUCAGUUAUUGAGUAUCAACUAUGUUUGAGGCAUUAAUAUUGUAUUUAAUUCACAUAAAAUGAUAUAUGUAUGUGCUUGUUUGGUUAUGGUCAAUAAACCAAUUUUAUAGGAAGAAUGUUCAAAAAUGUCGAUAGUGAGUUUCGGUCAUUUAUUUUACUGGCGUGUGUGUGUGUGGUUUUCAGUGUCAUAUGUGUAUAUAGCAUUUAUUGAAUUCCUGGUGUAUAUAUCACUUUUCCACGGAUUAUCUUAUUUAAUGCUCAUAAUAUAGAGUAGGAUGUUCAUUCAUUUUUUAAGAAAAAUAGAGGCUAACUUUGAUGC
rnacentral:lncRNA from 1 species